GUAUCCCACAUACACCGGACUAUUCACCCCCUGACCUCUUGGAAUAGCCUAGAAUAGAUCAGGUACGGGACAUGUUUUGGGAUAUUGGACGUUUUGAUUGCAAGGUGUAGCAGGGAAGAUUGGGAUAUACAUAUAUAGGUAGGUACUAGGUUGGUAGGUGUAUUCGGAAGGAAUAUAGCAUUACCCAAUCCCACUGCAUAAACAAAGCAUACUAUAUCUACAUUAAGUUCAAGAUAAGGUCGGGAAAAUUUCUAUCAAUUCAAUUUCAAGUUAUGAUUUUGCUAAUUAUCCUGCUAAUUUAUGAUGAGCCCAAGAUAUCGGUAGGAGAGAACACAAAGAUAAAGCACAAUAGUAACGGAACCAGAGAACAUCAGUAAUAAAGGGAACGGGAAUAUUUGAUUCCUUCAAAUUUUUAAGUUCUCGUUAUCAUCUCAAGAAAUUAGAAAAUUCGAGUAUUCAAAGCAUUUGAACUAAAUUUCUGAGUCAAGAAAUUAGAAAAUUCUAGGAUUCAAAGCACUUGAACUAAAUUUCUGAGAAGGACCUGUCAUUUGUAAGCUGAUUCCCCAUUAUUGCUUUUACUUUGCUUGUGAGUUGUUAUGCAUUCCACUAUCUUUUCUUCAUAAAUUAAAUUUAAAAACAUCAGAAACUAAGAAUAUCUACAGCCAACGCUCCAAGCUUAUAUCUAAACUGCCCCAAAACAAAAACACUGAUCUUUUACUCAUCCGAGCACUCGAGAAAUGGUUACAUUUGAAGUUCCUGCUAGUAAUCACAUGAGCAUGAUAUUUUAAUUUGGUGGUGGUGACAAUGAAUCUAUGA
rnacentral:misc_RNA from 1 species